rnacentral:rRNA from 1 species
AUUGAACGCUGGCGGCAGGCUUAACACAUGCAAGUCGAGCGAGCGGCGGACGGGUGAGUAAUGUCUGGGAAACUGCCUGAUGGAGGGGGAUAACUCCUGUAAACGGUAGCUAAUACCGCAUACCAUCAGAUGUGCCCAGAUGGGAUUAGCUAGUAGGUGGGGUAACGGCUCAACUAGGCGACGAUCCCUAGCUGGGCUGAUAGGAGGACCAGCCAAACUGGAAAUGAUACACGGUCCAGACUCCGACGGGAGGCAGCAGUGGGGAAGAUUGCACAAUGGGCGCAAGCCUGAUGCAGCCAUGCCGCGUGUGUGAAGAAGGCCUUCGGGUUGUAAAGCACUUUCAGCGAGGAGGCGUUACUCGCAGAAGAAGCACCGGCUAACUCCGUGCCAGCAGCCGCGGUAAUAC